rnacentral:misc_RNA from 1 species
GUGAAUCAUCGAAUUUUUGAACGCAAAUUGCACUCUCUUCGGAGAGUAUGCCUGUUUGAGGGUCAGCCUAAAAAAAUUCGACAUGGUUGCUGUUUCCCGGUGGCGUUCGUGGGAAAUUGGGUAAUCUUAAAUUUUUGUUUUAAGCGACUUAAAUUUUCUUUUAGGUUUCAUUGGCCGUUUCAAAGAUUUUUUUCUUUCAAGGUUUAAGGUAUCGAUUUUUUUAGCCGUGG